UCACUCCAUUUAGCUAAUAUCAGUCUGCACUGCCUUCGGGCUAUUUUGUCAAGUUCACAAAAUGUGGAACGGGAUGUAAGGUUAGAAUCAGCGGCGAAUCGGAACAUAUCUCGAAGCCCUGGCCGACAAAACGGUCCACAUGACUGUCAGGCUCAGAGAAAAUUCGGGUUGUUUUUGUGUCAGUCGGUAAUUCAGCAACAGUGACUCUAAACUGACGCAGCACUAGUUGACAGACAGCAUUACAGCGUGAAAUCUAGCACAGCGUGACCCGGUUCCGUGAGGAAUUCUGUUCAGGAGGUCGCAUUUCAGGGUCUCCACAUCAUAUGUGACUGACUUUUACUUUAUAAUAACAUCACACACUAGGAAUGUUAUAAAGCGCCUAUAUGGGACAGUUUCUUUUGUAUUUUAUCUGACUUUAUAAACAUCAAUGUGCUUCUAUUUUUUUUCAGGCUAAAUCUACCCAAGACACUGGCUGUCAGACUGAUUUAGUAAUCUGCAAGAAUGCACUUGUCCAGGCUGACGUGGUGUUACCCGUAGCAAAGAGCUCACAGCCUCAGUGUCUUGUGACACAGGGACCAUGACAGAAAUUCAUCUUCCAGAAGGUCCCAGAGCAUCCACACCUCCUGAAAAGACCACGGUGUGAGGUGUCUGCUGUUGAUUCCAGCUUCCACCUCAGUGACAGUGCAAGCUCAGUGAACUGUUCAAGGAGGCUACUGAUUCUGGCCCUGUGACACUUGGUGGUCACCACCAGGUGGUGACGUGUGAGCUGAUUCACCUGGACACUCAGCAAAAUAUGGACUCUACACCAUGAGGCAGGCACACGUUAAUAACUCUAUAAGAGCACAUAAGCCUGGCUGAUCACCUGAUAACUCCUGUCAUCUGGUUAUGACAGCAUGAGGAUGUCCUCACACACCUGUAACCUAUCAGCUCAUCUGGCAGAAUAGAGAGAGAAGAGACAACACCACAUCUCCUGUUCCUGGAAAGCCUUUAGCCAUCCUUCGAUGACU